rnacentral:rRNA from 1 species
CCGUAGUCGGUGCCGCAGCAAACGCAAUAAGUAUUCACCUCGGGGAGUACGUUCGCAAGAAUGAAACUCAAAGGAAUUGACGGGACCCGCACAAGCGGUGGAGCAUGUGGUUUAAUCCGAAGCAACGCGAAGAACCUUACCAAGUCUUGACAUCCCUCUGACCGUCCCUUAACCGGGGCUUUCCUUCGGGACAGGGGAGACAGGUUGUGCAUGGUUGUCGUCAGCUCGUGUCGUGAGAUGUUGGGUUAAGUCCCGCAACGAGCGCAACCCCUAUCCUUAGUAGCCAGCAGUAAGAUGGGCACUCUGGGGAGACUGCCGGAGACAAUCCGGAGGAAGGUGGGGAUGACGUCAAAUCAUCAUGCCCCUUAUGAUUUGGGCUACACACGUGCUACAAUGGCGUAAACAAAGGGAAGCGACGGAGUGAUCCUGAGCAAAUCUCAAAAAUAACGUCCCAGUUCGGAUUGUAGUCUGCAACUCGACUACAUGAAGCUGGAAUCGCUAGUAAUCGCGGAUCAGAAUGCCGCGGUGAAUACGUUCCCGGGU